AAAGGGCAGGAGCACGGAGCCAGAGAGCGCACUGAGCUCUCAGCUGAUGUAGAGGGGAAUACAGGCUGCUGUCAGGAGGGGGAGGAGGAGGAGGAGGAGGAGGGACAGUCCGAUCCUCCCAGGCCGAGCCGAGCGACCCGGACGCCUCGUCGGACGUCUGCUCUCAGUUGCACCUGCCAGCUCCUGCACGCAGUUUGGAAAGAGGAGGCCCAAGGAGCGCACACGGAGGAGGAACACGUUCCAGCGCUCCAGCAGAUUUAUCAAACAGAACGAUGCCGUCUUACAACAAGGCCCAGGAUCAGCAUGGACGGAUUCACCGGAGAUGACUCGGAUAAUGACAUCAGGCAUCAGUACAGCAGGAACAGGAAGUCCUGUGUGAACGCUUCAUCUCUGUGUCACUUCCUGAGAGGAAAUAGAACCAGAAGCUGGAGAAAAAGGCGGUGGCAACAAGUCUCACCUCCACUGUGUGUGUGUGUGUGUGUGUGUGUGUGUGUGUGUGUGUGUGUGUGUGUGUGUGUGUGUGUGUGUGUGUGUGUGUGUGUGUGUA
rnacentral:lncRNA from 1 species